CCCAGCGCAGUCAAAACUAACUAAAAAAUAUAAAAUGUUAAAAAAAAGAAAGAAAAGUUCUCUUAUCUCACCUACACUACACUCUAGUCUGGUGGCUCUCAAAAUUCCCAGAUCAUCAGCCUCAGCAUCACCUGGGAAUUUGUUGAAAUGAAAUUCUCCAGCCCCACCUCAGACCUGAAGAAUGAGAACCUGCAGCUGGGAUUCAGCAACUCCUUCAUUUACAAGCUCUCCAGCUGAUUCGUAUCCUGCUCACGUUUUAGAACACAUUAAAGGACCUGAGUUUUCCUAAA